rnacentral:rRNA from 1 species
CCCUUAGAUGUCCUGGGCCGCACGCGCGCUACACUGAGUGUCUGAGAUACGAGUCUGCCUGGUCCGGCAAGGUCUAGGUAAUCGCUAAAAGACACAUCAUGCUUGGGAUAGAUUAUUGCAAAUAUUAAUCUUGAACGAGGAAUUCCUAGUAAGCGCAAGUCAACAGCUUGCGUUGAUUACGUCCCUGCCCUUUGUACACACCGCCCGUCGCUACUACUGAUUGGAUGUUUAAGCGAGGUUCUCGAACUGCUAGCGACUUAGCUUCGGUGAGGUCGCAGUGUGGAAAGUGAACCGAGCUUUGGUGUCUAGAGGAAGUAAAAGUCGUAACA